AUGCUGCACUUCAGCCAUCCGGUGGUGCACCCCUCCCCGCCGGCGCAGGGGCAGGGGCAGGGGCAGACGGAGGUGGAGAUGGUGCCGCCGGCGCAGGGGCAGGCGGUGCAGGGGGAGGGGGCGAACGGGGACGGGAACGCGCCUGCUGGGGUGAUCAUGAGGGGCCCCUGGACGCGGUGCAGCCUCGUCUUCCGCCUCCUGCAGGCCGCCUUCGCGGCCACCUCGCUCGCCGUCAUGGCGUCCACCGACGACUUCUCCUCCGUCACCACAUUCCGCUACCUCGUAGCAGCAGCAAUCGUGCAAUGCCUGUGGAGCCUCGCCGUGGCCAUUCUGGAUGCCUAUGCAAUUGUUGUCAAACGUUCCUUCCGAACUGCCCGGGCUGUCAUCAUACUUGCCCUCGGGGACUGGGUCAGAGGAACACUGAUCUUCAGUGCAGCUUGUGGAUCACCACUCUCCUUUCCAAUGAUUUCGGAGCUUGCUCGGUAA
rnacentral:rRNA from 1 species